AGUUAUUCUAUGGUUGUAUUUUCUUGGUUUCCACAUUUUUUACACUCCUCCUUUAUUAUGUCCUUUAUUUACCAUUGCAUCAAAGUUGCGACUGCGUUUUGUUGUAGUAGUGAUGCUGUGUUAACGAUCAGAUCUACUCUUUUGUCUAUUCUGUGUCUCCAUGAUAUAACUGUAGAUGCCCACUCGUUUUUGUUUUUUUUAAACUGUGUUUUCUAGUGUAGCUAUUUUGCUGCCUCAGGACGAUGGUUCAAUUUUUAUUAGCCUAAUGAUGGAAAACUCAUUUUUGGAGCGGUUCUGUGGAUUAUUGUUAGGAGCCUUUUCUAUCAUUUUUGCUUACUAGCCAUUAUCAUCAUCAUAAACACCAUCCUCUAUCUAUCCAUCUCUCUCUCUCUCUCUCUCUCUCUCUCUCUCUCUCUCUCUCGCGCGGGCGUGUAGAGAUGAAGAUAAAAAGAGGCUCAUAGUGAUAAUCCAGUGGUUAAAUGUCAAUGAAUAUAUAUAGCUAUGAGAUCUGAAGGCUUGUCUAUAGACAUUUUUUGUCCUUCUAAGAUAUGCUUAUUAAAUUGUAAAUCACUUUUCGUCCUUAGUUAUUCUAUGGUGUUUUAUCUUCAUUUCUACAUAUCUAUUACGCUCCUCUUUAUUAUGCCCCUUAUUGACCAUUAUAUGGAAUUUGUGACUGCAUUUCGUUUUAAACAUUUGCACUGAAUAAUAUGUAUUUCCCAUGUGGUGCAAAUAUCCUUCCCAAGGUGCCCUUGAAACGCUGAUAAAAUUAAUGUGAUGGAACUUCAGUCAACUGCAAAUAGUAGAGCGUCCUGGAAUGUGGUUAUUUUGACAUUGUCAAUGGCACAGUUAAGAGUUUCAAUUGGUUUGUUUUUCUUUUGGUUUGGUGUGACUAUUUGGCAACUAUUGUAUGAAAUUUUGUUUGCUAGUGCUAGUUUAGAUAUUUAAGGUGUAUGGCUAACUGUAUGAGAUUCCAUAGAUUAAAUUGUGUUUGAUGGUAGAUUCCAUUUUAGUACUCCAUUGAUCUGAUCUUUGUUGGAAUUCAAAUAAAAGGUGAAGUUAUUAUUGUAGGUUUGAGCAUAUGAGACUUUAAAAAACAACGCUGUACUAAUGAUCAGAUCUAGUGUCUUUUGUUUAUUCUGUGCCUUUCCACGUUCUACUUGUGGUUGUCUGAGUUUAUAUUUCUUGCCUUUUUUAUUUUUUGGGAUUACCUUGUAAUGUAAUCUAACAAAUUUGCUGCCUCAGAAAAUUGGUGCAAUUUUUUAUUAGCCUGGUGAUGGAAACCUCUUUUUUUUGUUAUGAUUUUUAUAGCACUUUAUAUUAUAAGACUGCAGGUACCUGAAUAGUUUUUUGUAACACAGUUUCUUAUUACUUUCAAUGAGCUUUAAAAUUUAAAUCUGGUUUUCAUUUGUGAAGUACAGAACAGUUAUGAACUGUUUGAGUACCUUUGAGCUUACUUGAUGUCUCAAUUUUCUUACUAGAUAUAUUUAUAUAAACUAAAAUCUUUAGAAUAUUUAAGAAUAUAUAUUAAUUUAUAAUUUAUAUAUUAAUUAUUUAAUUGAAAUGUAAUUUAAUGGUGUCAGGCAUUUGAUGUCAAGUUGGUUCAAAAUCCGCCAAUGUCUAUGACCAUGGUUUGUAUUAUGGCUUGUUGUGUAUAAUGGCAUAGUUUUUAAGUGGAUUUUAAAAUUUUCUUUUCCGUGGUCUGGGUUAAUUGCUAAGUGGGACUUUGGUGAACAAUGAUACAUGCAUUGGGCUUGGAGCAGUUUAUGACUGCAGCCAUUGAUGGAAAUGCAACCUAGAAAGCUAUAUAUGACCCCUGUAGAAAUCCUUGCAUUCCUGUGAUACGGGUGUUGCAAUGUUAGGAUGAAAUUUUUAUCUGCUAGUUGUAGGGGUAUGGCUGACUGCAAGAGAUUCCAUACAAGUAAAUUGUGUUUAUCUGGUAUAUUUUCAAAUUGGGUGUUCAGGACAUGGUGUUGAUUGAAAAUCUACUCAUGCUCAUGGCUACGGUCGUAUUUGUGGCGAGUAAUUUAUAGUGAAUUGGUAUUAAAAUCGAGUGAUGUACAUGCAUGCACUGAGCUCCGAGCUGUGGUUAUUGAUGGAAAUGCAGGCAGCUUAGAAAACUAUAUAUGAGCCUCCAUGAAAUCCUUUUGCUUUUCUGUUCGCAGGUGUUGGAUUUAAAAUGAAAUUUCUGUUUGGGCUAGAUUGGAUUCUUAAGGUAUGGAUUGGACUUUGUAGUAUUAAACUGUGUAUGGAAGUGGAUUUUGUGUGAUUACAAUCAUUGGAUCAGUUGCACUCCUUUGGCCUGAUGAUGGAAAACUCAUUUCUGGGAGCGGUACUAUGGAUUAUUAUAAGUAUGAGCCUUUUCUAUCAUUCUUUCCAUGCUAGUCCUCAUCAUCAUCAUCAUCAUCAUCAUCAUCACCACCACUCUCUUUCUCUCUCUCUCUCUCUCUCUCUCUCUCUCUCUCUCUCUGUGGCAUGCAUGGCCGAAGAUGUGAAGAGGCUCAUACUGAUAAUCCAGCAGCUAACCGUCGAUGACCAGAUAUAGCUAUGAGAUCUGAAGGCUUA
rnacentral:lncRNA from 1 species